AAUGAACGCUGGCGGCGCGCCUAAUACAUGCAAGUCGAGCGAGAAGACGUAGCAAUACGUUUGUAAAGCGGCGAACGGGUGAGGAAUACAUGGGUAACCUACCCUCGAGUGGGGAAGUAACUAGCCGAAAGGUUAGCUAAUACCGCGUACGCUUCUUGGACUUCGGUUCAGGGAGGAAAGCGAUGCCGAGGGUAUCGCGCUCUUGGAUGGGCUCAUGUCCUAUCAGCUUGUUGGGAGGUAACGGCUCACCAAGGCUUCGACGGGUAGCUGGUCUGAGAGGACGAUCAGCCACACUGGCACUGCGACACGGGCCAGACUCCUACGGGAGGCAGCAGUAAGGAAUAUUGCGCAAUGGGCGAAAGCCUGACGCAGCGACGCCGC
rnacentral:rRNA from 1 species